GUGUUGUAUGGAAGGAGAGGAGAUUAGCGGUUCCCUUGAUAAGGUUGGAAGAGGUCCUUCUGGCCUUUACAACACAUAAAUGGUUAAGGCAUUGCCACCUGGUGGUAUCUAACCACCAUUUUAG